rnacentral:Y_RNA from 1 species
GGCUGGUCCAAAGGUAGUGAAUUAGCUCAACUGAUCGUUCACAGUCAGUUACAGAUCAAAUUCCUUGUUCUACUCUUUCUACCUUCUCACUAGCACCAGACUAGUCUUAA